rnacentral:rRNA from 1 species
UACGGAGGGGGCAAGCGUUAUCCGGAAUUAUUGGGCGUAAAGGGUGCGUAGGCGGCCGGUUAAGUCAGGUGUGAAAUUUCUGUGCUUAACGCAGAAAGUGCGCCUGAGACUGGCGGGCUUGAGUCCAGGAGGGGAUGGUGGAAUGCCCAGUGUAGAGGUGAAAUGCGUAGAUAUUGGGAAGAACACCCGUGGCGAAGGCGGCCCUCUGGACUGGUACUGACGCUAAGGCGCGAAAGCGUGGGGAGCAAACAGG